rnacentral:rRNA from 1 species
GAUGAACGCUGGCGGCGUGCCUAAUACAUGCAAGUCGAACGAACGGACGAGAAGCUUGCUCCUAUGAUGUUAGCGGCCGACGGGUGAGUAACAUGUGGAUCACCUACCUAUAAGACUGGGAUAACUUCGCGAAACAGGAGCUAAUGCCGGAUGAUAUAUUGAACCGCAUUGUUCAAAAGUUAAAUACGGUCUUUCUGUCACUUAUAGCUGGAUCCGCGCUGCAUUAGUUAGUUGGUAAGGUAACGGCUUACCAAGGCAACGAUGCAUAGACCACCUGAGAGCGUGAACGGCGACACUGGGACUGAGACACAGUACAGACGCCUACAGGAGGGAGCAGAAGGGAAUCAUGCGCGAUGGGAGAAAGCCUGACGGAGCAAAGCGGCGUGAGUGCUGAAGGUGCUCGGACCGUAAAGCUAUGAUAUUAGUGGGGAACAAAAGGGUAAUUAACUGUGGACAUCAUGACGGUACCGGAUCAGUAAGCCGCGGCUAACUACGUG